GGUAAUCGAACCCCAUACAUAUCAAGUACGACACACGUACGCAUGGCAUACCGAUAUGUAUAGAUACAUCGAUGGCAUCACAACAUAACCAUAAACAUACAAGCUUUAUUUAAGAGGCUCGGAAGAGCCACNNNNNNNNNNNNNNNNNNNNNNNUCGGAAGAGCCACACACAUAAUAUUACACAGUAAGGGUCUCACGACCCUUAAUAGCAGUCAUUCAGUUACAAGCCAGCGGAAGAGUUUAAAAUUGUCUGAGUAUGGACAGGUGCAACUAGAAGACACAUGGCCUGACUAUACUACAGACCCAACGGAGGGCCAGAUCGUAGCUGGGACACCAGCUACUCGUCGUCGUCGAUGUCUAUGAAGAACCCUUCAUUAGGGUCAUUAGCAACCUCUGCAACAUUUAUUAAGCAAACAUGAGUACGGAGGUACUCAGCAAGACUUUAGGAGAACUAUCUACUCAUGCAAUGUAUCAAUAAGGUAUUGUGGGGUUUAAUGCGGAAAGCCAGCAUUUGACUUGUGGCUAGACAACUUGCAUUUUAAAAUAAUUUUGACAACUUAAUUUCUCGCACACGAGUCCACUAGCACCACAACAAUACUCCAUCGUGGAAUCAUUCCGUCUCCAUACGGAAAUGCCGUCCACGACACUCACGCUUAUCUUGACAAUUUUACGAGUAGCCAUUGAAAUUAUCUAUGAACAACAUAUGUCUCCAAGUAGUCCAUAUCCGCGGACGUGACUAUUCGAAUAGAUCAUAACCCUGCAGGGGUGUACUUCGUCACACACGCUCUCGCCACUUAUCGCCAUGUGCACGUCAUGCACCUGGGCAACCUUCAAGCGGAAGCCUAGCGAGGGAGUCGGCCACGACCGUUAACCACACUAGUACCUAGUCCAGGUUUAUCGCCUAUCUGAGGGUAACCCGCACGGAAGUCCGGCCGAGGUUUCCGCCACGGCCCCAAAUGAUGUGCGUAGGGUUCCCAAGCCCACCAUUCGGGUGCCACUUGGUACACCGUGCCACUGCCUACCGCGUCACAGCCCACCUCUCAGGUCAGCACCAUGCACGGCCUCCAGCAUGACUAUAAACACCAGAAACUACUUGCAACUCCUGGACCGAGUACUAAGCGAUUAAUAGGUCGAGCGGGGUCAUAUUUCAGGGCCCAGCAUGUGGUAGUAUCUCGUCUUGGAUUACAUACACGGAACUCAGUUCCUAAGGACGGUUCCAAUGAAACAACCCGCCAUGUACUCCUACACAGCCUUUCACCGGUACCUUUACCAAAUCAGGUUCAACACACAACCUUUGCUCACCGAACACAUUCUCACAAUUCUGUUCAUCUCCCAGAUGACAUACCAUACACAACUCUAAGCAUAGCAUGCAUAGCAGGAUAAGGCACAUCAUGGCUCAAGCAACUACCAGGUAUGCUAGGUUGCAAGGUUUAGCUAUUUACGGUGACAAGGAUAGGUCAUGCAAAGGAAGUGGGUUCAACUAACGGGGCAAAAGCAUUUGAAGCAUUUGAUCCUAAUGCAAUAAGUAAGUGCAGGAGCAAGAACAUGGGAUUUAUCGGGAUGAGCAAAAUGGUUGCUUGCCUUGUUGCUCUGAGGAGUGACAAUAUCCGUCAGACGGAUAUUCGGUGGAAUCCGGGGGAGCGGAGCCUACCGAAAGGAAUGACAACAAUCAAUAUCAAGCAUAUGCAAUCAAGAUGAUGCAUGAGCAUGGCAUGAGAAAGCAAGGUGAUAUACUAUUAUAGCUAACAUGUAUUAGGUUUGAAGUUGAUUUGAAUCAAAUUCAAAUACCACUUCAAACGAGGUAUUCUCG
rnacentral:lncRNA from 1 species